CUUUGACUUUAACAAGGAGGUCCUUUCUGCUAUUUGUAAAAAAGUAAGUGCUUCCUUGUUUUAGUAGAAG
rnacentral:pre_miRNA from 12 species